CCUUACCAAAAAUCCACUGGACUAGGACUCCGGGGAAGAUACCUGAUUUGAAAUACCAGGACCCACAGCUUGGGCCUCCUAAGGUAUGUUUGAAUGGCAAAGCAGCAUUUGGUUACCUGACAGCCUUCUACUCUGCACCACUGCUAAGCUCCUCCAGAUGGCCAAGAAGAUACUUACUGUCUCUAUGACCUUGGCGAGUACAGUGCUGGGC